rnacentral:rRNA from 1 species
GGCGCAGCCUGAUCCAGCAAUGCCGCGUGUGUGAAGAAGGCCUUCGGGUUGUAAAGCACUUUUGUCCGGAAAGAAAACCUCGUGGUUAAUACCCGUGGGGGAUGACGGUACCGGAAGAAUAAGCACCGGCUAACUACGUGCCAGCAGCCGCGGUAAUACGUAGGGUGCAAGCGUUAAUCGGAAUUACUGGGCGUAAAGCGUGCGCAGGCGGUUCGCUAAGACAGAUGUGAAAUCCCCGGGCUUAACCUGGGAACUGCAUUUGUGACUGGCGGGCUAGAGUAUGGCAGAGGGGGGUAGAAUUCCACGUGUAGCAGUGAAAUGCGUAGAGAUGUGGAGGAAUACCGAUGGCGAAGGCAGCCCCCUGGGCCAAUACUGACGCUCAUGCACGAAAGCGUGGGGAGCAAACAGGAUUAGAUACCCUGGUAGUCCACGCCCUAAACGAUGUCAACUAGUUGUCGGGUCUUCAUUGACUUGGUAACGUAGCUAACGCGUGAAGUUGACCGCCUGGGGAGUACGGUCGCAAGAUUAAAACUCAAAGGAAUUGACGGGGACCCGCACAAGCGGUGGAUGAUGUGGAUUAAUUCGAUGCAACGCGAAAAACCUUACCUACCCUUGACAUGUAUGGAACCCUGCUGAGA